AGGGUUGAGGCGCAGUUUGGUAGCGCACAUGGUUGGUAGAGCGCAAAACCGUGCGCCGGGGGUUCGAGUCCCUCCACCCCUGCCA
rnacentral:tRNA from 1 species